GUGGAGUACAUGUGUGUCCCUCCUGAAGCUGCACACUAGGUCAAAGAGGUCGACCUUCCCCAAGUAGAGGAGGACAUGUCUUUGAUCAAGGUUAUAUGAGUGACCUGUGUUCCCCUGCUAGAACCUCCAAACAAACUCUCAAGGACUAUUUGAAAUUUUCUUUUAACAGGAUGCUUGGAUUUAAAGAAUGAGAGAGCCGAAUGCCAACACAAAGCCAGCUUUAUUUU
rnacentral:snRNA from 1 species